rnacentral:misc_RNA from 1 species
UCCUCGAUGACCGAGGCAGUCUCGUGUGAAAAAUACAACACACGACAAGGGUUGCGCUCGUUGCGGGACUUAACCCAACAUUUCACAACACGAGCUGACGACGACCAUGCAUCACCUGUCAUCCCGUUCCAAAAGGCACGCUCCUCUUUCGAGGAGCUUCGGGAGAUGUCAAGCCCUGGUAAGGUUCUUCGCUUAGCUUCGAAUUAAACCACACGCUCCACCGCUUGUGCGGGUCCCCGUCAAUUCCUUUAUGUUUUAGCCUUGCGGCCGUACUCCACAGGCGGGGUACUUAACGCGUUAGCUUCGAUACCCAGGGGGUCUAUUCCCCGAAUACCUAGUACCCAUCGUUUACGGCGUGGACUAC